AAGAUGAAGGGAGUGACUUAGUGGCGGACGGGUGAGUAAUGCGUGAGCAACCUGCCCUUCAGUGGGGGACAACAGUUGGAACGACUGCUAAUACCGCAUAAAGUAUUCGGAAGGCAUCUUUUGAAUACCAAAGAUUUUAUCGCUGAAGGAUGGGCCCACGUCUGAUUAGCUAGUUGGUGAGGUAAUGGCUCACCAAGGCUGCGAUCAGUAGCCGGACUGAGAGGUUGACCGGCCACAUUGGGACUGAGAUACGGCCCAGACUCCUACGGGAGGCAGCAGUGGGGAAUAUUGGGCAAUGGGCGCAAGCCUGACCCAGCAACGCCGCGUGAAGGAAGAAGGCUUUCGGGUUGUAAACUUCUUUUAGCAGGGACGAAACAAAUGACGGUACCUGCAGAAUAAGCACCGGCUAACUACGUGCCAGCAGCCGC
rnacentral:rRNA from 1 species